CCUACGGGGGGGCUGCAGUGGGGAAUAUUGGACAAUGGGGGCAACCCUGAUCCAGCCAUGCCGCGUGUGUGAAGAAGGCCCUCGGGUUGUAAAGCACUUUCAGUGAGGAAGAACGCCUGGUGGUUAAUACCCAUCAGGAAAGACAUCACUCACAGAAGAAGCACCGGCUAACUCCGUGCCAGCAGCCGCGGUAAUACGGAGGGUGCGAGCGUUAAUCGGAAUUACUGGGCGUAAAGCGCGCGUAGGUGGCUUGAUAAGCCGGUUGUGAAAGCCCCGGGCUCAACCUGGGAACGGCAUCCGGAACUGUCAAGCUAGAGUGCAGGAGAGGAAGGUAGAAUUCCCGGUGUAGCGGUGAAAUGCGUAGAGAUCGGGAGGAAUACCAGUGGCGAAGGCGGCCUUCUGGACUGACACUGACACUGAGGUGCGAAAGCGUGGGUAGCAAACAGGAUUAGAUACCCUUGUAGUC
rnacentral:rRNA from 1 species